rnacentral:rRNA from 1 species
GACGAACGCUGGCGGCGUGCCUAAUACAUGCAAGUAGGACGCGCAGUCUAUACCGUAGCUUGCUACACCAUAGGCUGUGAGUUGCGAACGGGUGAGUAACGCGUAGGUAACCUGCCUAUUAGAGGGGGAUAACUAUUGGAAACGAUAGCUAAUACCGCAUAACAGUAUGUAACACAUGUUAGAUGCUUGAAAGAUGCAAUUGCAUCGCUAGUAGAUGGACCUGCGUUGUAUUAGCUAGUAGGUAGGGUAAUGGCCUACCUAGGCGACGAUACAUAGCCGACCUGAGAGGGUGAUCGGCCACACUGGGACUGAGACACGGCCCAGACUCCUACGGGAGGCAGCAGUAGGGAAUCUUCGGCAAUGGGGGGAACCCUGACCGAGCAACGCCGCGUGAGUGAAGAAGGUUUUCGGAUCGUAAAGCUCUGUUGUUAAGGAAGAACGAGUGUGGGAAUGGAAAGUUCAUACUGUGACGGUACUUAACCAGAAAGGGACGGCUAACUACGU